GCUCAGUUUUUCACCAGCGACUCUCAUGGCUCAGCCUGCUGUGGCAAUCUUGAGUCAAGGUUCUAAUGCAAAUGUGGUAAAACCUGUAUAACCAAAUAUUCAAAUUAAGCCUGGUUUAAACAUUUUCGAAAAUCACAAUCAAAGAAAAUCCUAAAGAAAAACAGCAGUAGCAAUGAUCAACCAGCAUUUUCCAAAAAUGAUGAUGAUUUCGAUGAUGCUUUAGAGGAUGAAGGUUUUUCUCUUGCAAAGAGUAAAAAGAAUCAUAACAAGUCAAGAUUCACCGUAGAAUAUUCUGAGUUUGCAGAUCCAUUGGUUAUCCUUUCAGCCAUUCCCUAGAAGUCAUGCCAAGACCAACCAAAGCCAUCGUCGCCAACAGCGAGUGCUAUCAUGUGACCGUCCACAAAACAAUCGUAGCCCUACAAAAAUCAAACCAAACCAUAACAGUCAAUUUAGAAUCUUCUGGUUACAAUUUGUAGCAGAAUCAUAAUCGUUCAGUUUUCAUUCAAUCAAGUACUGAUGAUGAUGCUAUCAUGUUUUUUCGACGAGUUGAUGAAUUUUUCAAAGUUACUCUUCUAAUAUAAUCUCAAGAACAAACACAAGGAUCAACCUAGAAAGGAGGUUGAUGAUCACUGCCCACGUUCUUCAGCAGUUGAUGGCUCUUUGGUUGACAAAAGACCCGACGUUCAUCCUGAAACAUAUAGCAAAAGAUCAACUUUCUUUAGUUGGAUUAAAAGUUGGUGGCCAUUUCAGAAAAGCAAUGCAAAGGCUGAUGAUUCUACUGCUUAUCAGAACAAGGUGACUAGUAAUUUAGAGGACUUCAAGUUACCUGAACUAGACCAACAUGCUAGUAAUCUUGAAAACCCCUUUGCAGUGGCAGAGCAGUCAACAUCUUCUGCCUAUUCUGUUUUUGUCUGUCUACAGCAACCAUAUACAGGCUAACAACACUUCCAAUAGCAAAAUAAAAACCACUUGUCUGCAAUUACUCCUCUGGCUCCCAUGGCAUGCAAUAAAAACCAGCAACUUUAAUCUCGGAGAGCUUUACCUAUAGAUUCAACAAAAAUAGAGUUCAAAGUUCAGUACACAAUAAUACAAGGUUUUCAGCAUUGAAGGAAAAGGAAUCGAAUUAGGGUGAGUAACCCUGUUGAAGCAGUUGACGUAGAUGACCAAGUCAUCUAGUAUGUGGACUUAGACACAUCCUCAUGCAAUAACAAUGCGGCAACCCCUAUACAAGAAACCAAGCCCGGAAGCUUCCAUCACUUGGACCUCCUGCAAUGCAAACUCACUUGGGUGUAGAGUGUACCAUCCAUAACUUGAAUAAAUGCCUGCAAAAAAAGUGUCCAUCAGUUCAAAGUUCAACAAGUUAACAGCAAAAUAAAUGGUUUGAUGAAAGUCAGCUCGUCAAUGUUGAUUCCUCUGCUCAAUGGCCGGUAUCAAUUGAUGCACAAGAAUCCUGCUCAAAUGUAGUACUUUUAGGUUUUGGCAUUGUUGAGAAAUGCAAUAAGCAUGAUACAUUUUCAAAUCUCCUAAAAUCAGGAACUGCUGAGCCGCGUACAGAAGGUGCAAAUAUAUCCUUGUUAUUAGACUUGAUGAAGAUAUAGUUCUCAUGCCAAAACAACAACAAACAAUGUCAAAUUGUUACCAAAUCUGACACAAUGUCAGCAAUAAAUUCACUCUCCUGGAACAAGUUGAAGGAACUUACUCUAUGCCGAAUAAGAAUGGGAAACCUUGUAAGCAAGGUGAUGUACUGAGACUAUCCAUUCAGUACAUCCCAAUGGAGUAACUGAGCCUUUAUCAUCAAAGAGUAAGAGUGCUUCUCCUUAUUUGGGUUGAUCCUACAUUAAGAAGUAUUUUGGGUUAUAAAACAGAUGGUGUCAUGGCAACUCAUGAUGAGGAAACUAGACGAUUUUUCAAGCACUCACCAGUGAGUGUGCUGCUUUGUACGCAUCAUCAAAGCAGACUGGUCAAGCAAAAGGAAGUUGGAACUAUAUGUACGCAUCAUCAAAAAACUGUAACUGUGGAUGGUGGUGUUGGGAAUAACAGAAGAAAAUUGUAGCAUUUGUUGGGGGACUUGAUCCUUGCGAUGGUCAUAUAACAGCAUACCAUUAAGUUUUUCAAUGGCCUCUUGAGCAGCAUCCUCACUAUCAAACUGAACAAAGCCAUAGCCUUUUAACUGGCUAGAUCCUGCAAAACAUCAAACCACACAUGAACAUUCUGGUAAUUUCACAGCAGUAAAAACAUAUUAAUUUAGCAAGGCGGUAAAAGUUAACAAAUAACCCAAAAAGGAUUAGGACAAAUUCAAGGUAAGAAAGUGCAUGAAUAGUAUUACCUUUUCCAGAUUAAGCGUCAAAUGAGAGGAUUAGGACAAAUUCAAGGUAAGAAAGUGCAUGAAUAGUAUUACCUUUUCCAGAUUAAGCGUCAAAUGAGGAAGACAAAGCUGAAGCACCUUAAAGCACUUCCAAGGGAUACCCUUUUGAUCUCCAUAAGUCGAAUCUGAAACCCUAACAUGGUGAGUAUAAAAGAAGAGGGGCAGAUACUAUUGAGGGACCACGAAAAACCCUAGAGUAUUGGACGGCGGCUGAGAACGACGAAGAACCCUAGAGAGAAAAAAGGUUAGCAAGAGUUCUGGGAGAAAAGCUUCACAAAAAGCCAUUAGCAUUAGCAAAAAUCAGGGAAAGAAGACGGUGGUCGUAUACCUGUUCACUCGUCUCCAAAAUAUCCCGAUCCGGUAGAUUCCUCGCUUCUUCUUGCUCUUCAGUAUCCAGCGUCAACCCCUAUUUUGUUCAAGGUUCGUGAUUUCGUUGCUAUUGUUGUCCUUUAUUUUCUUCUUGUUUUUGAGUAUUGGUUUUGCGUUAGGAGAAGUAGAUUUUUUUUAUAUAUUGAGGAAGAGGCUUUUGAGCUGAGAGGAAGAAGGUGACCGUUUGUUCUUUCCCACUUCCCCAAGGGUUUAAUGACUUCUUCGUUUCCCCAAGAGCAUUAAUGGCUCUCCAUUCUCUUCCUCAUGUGACUGUUGGGACUCUGUUUCCCACGCGGAAUAGGAAGAGGCUCACCAACCCAGGCCCAUACCGUUUAGGAUCCUUAGUUUAAGUUGGAUUUUACUCUAAGAUAACCCAGCAGCCCAUCUCGUUUUAGUAGUUUUUUUAUUUUAAUUUAUCUUGGUAUAUUCGUGUUCAUAUAUUUAAGUUGGUGUUAAGGAAACAAAUGAUCAUAAGUGGCCGAGUGGAGAGAGAGCGAUUUCACUUUUUUUAGUGCGAUGGGUUCGAUACUUGGGAAUAUCAUAUCUUCAUAUUUUUAUUUUUUUAUGCUUAUUAUUUCAUUUAAAUUUUUUAUAACUUCUUACUAUUUAUUUUACUUUUAUAUUUUUAUUUGAUUAAUUUAAUUUAAUCGUUAAUUAGUUGUUUAGAUUUUUAAAUGUUUAGUUUUUUUUUUAGAUUUUCUUAAUUAUUGACCUUUUUUGAUAUGGGAUUUUGUACGGUUAAUUGAUUUCCAUGUGCUAGUUAAUUUAAUUAGGUUAUCGGUAUCUAGGUUCAUACCUUUACACAUGUAAAUAAUCACAUUCAAAUUCACUAAAUUUUCGAUUCAAAUUUCAUUAACUUUCCAUAGUUUCACCAUUCAAUUUCAUUUCCUAUUCACCUUCAAAUACAAUUUCAAGCCAUUUUUCCACUAACACUCCAUUAUUCAAAUCAUUUUCUUAAUAAAAUUUGAAGAAAAAGAUUAUCCUGGAUGGAAUAUUCAGUUAUAAUCCCGAAUAUUAGGCUCAAGCUGUAAGAGCUUGCAAGCCAUAAAUAUUAUAAUAAAAUUUGAAGAAAAAGAUUAUCCUGGAUGGAAUAUUCAGUUAUAAUCCCGAAUAUUAGGCUCAAGCUGUAAGAGCUUGCAAGCCAUAAAUAUUCGUCUUCCCUCCAAAACACUCAUAAAUAUUCGAACCAUUUUCUUAGCAAUAUUGGAAAGAAGCAGACUGCCUGGAUGGAAUGUCCAGACGUAGUCUCGAGUAUUAGACACAAGUUGUAAGAGCUUGCCGGUCAUAAGUACUCGUCUUUCAAACUCAAAAAACACUUAAUUCCUACCUUAACAAUUUUUCAAUAAAGAUGGAAAUGGAAGAUGGUGUAUACCGUGCACUCUUGAGAUUAAGAUUCUUGGUGGAUGCCUUGCCUAUCUUAGCUCUCGCCAUCGUCUAAAGUUGCCAAUGCGGUUUCUUCAAACCCUUUCUCAAUCAAAUUCAAAACACUUAAUCUUUAUUAAACACUUUUUGCAAAUAAGAUGGAAAUGGAAUGUGGUGGAUACCACGCACUCCUGAGUCUAGGAUUCGAGAUGGAUAUCUCGCUCAUCCAAGUUCUCGCCAUUACUCAAAAAUACAUCCAACCAAUCAAACUCUUUUCUUUGCCGCAAUGCGGUCUUUAAAACCUUUUCAUAAACGAAAGACAUGUUGUCUUAAGGUGAUGCAAAACAAUGUUUCGGCCACGAUUGUUGAGUCGAGAUAAGUGACGUUUUUCCGAAUGCUGAUUUGUAAAUCCAUUCGAUGUGUGGUAUAUGUCCGCUCCUCAUCUAUUUUGGGUAAAACAAUGUCUUCGUCGAUUAAUACAAUAUGGCUUUCGCUAAAAUCGACUAACAAACAAACAUUUUUCUACCCAGAACUACGUAAGCCUUGAUUUCUCUUUUGAGAUACGUAGGAGCAGGAUUUGUAAAUCUUGUCAGGCUCACUAAUAAAAAACUUAGGUUUAGUCCUUCGUCAAAAAUCUAAAAACAUUCUCCUCUCAUUCUUUCUUUCUUUCCCACCUAAUAAAUUGAAAAGCCUAACAUUUCAAACUAACAUUAAUGCACAUAACUAACCUAACGGUUCCCGUUGAGUACAACGGACAUGAGGUGUGCUAAUACCUUCCCCUUGCGUAAUCGACUCCCGAGCCUUGAUUUAGUUGCGACGACCAUAAUCAUUGUCGUACUUUCUUGGGUUUUAUCGAUAUUCCCCCUUUCCUUUUUAGGAAUAAAUAAAGUUUGGUGGCGACUCUGUUUAGUCCAUCAUUGCGAGCGUGCGAUUGCGCUUCGCUAAGUCGUGGCCCCAUUUUUCGAGGUGUGACAGAUGGCGACUCUGCUGGGGACUUUCUCCCUAAGUGAGUCAAGCCUAGUUAGGACGUUUGUAGGCCUUUGUUUGUUUACCUGUGUGGAUUUUUCUUUAUUGUUUUGCUAUAUUUAUAGUCCUAUUGAUAUAAAUCUGUUGUAUUGGUUCAAUAUGCUUUGGGACUUAGAGAUACUCUGAUUACAAACCUUGUGGGAAAGACUUUUUACCCGAGUCUCGAGUAAAAACAUAAAAUAAGACGAGGUUGAGUAGUGCGGGUCCACGAGAUGAAUUUCUCGUUGGGUCGGCGCGAGAACCUUACUUAGAGUAGAUUCUUGAGAGGAUGUUGUCGCUCGGCAAGUAAGUUGCCAUAAGCUUCAAUAUUUUCUUUAGGAUCCAUGACUCUGAGAACCAUUUGUAGAGCCUUAGUUCUUUGUCCAACUAGGAAGGAUGGUUGCGUAGCACGGGUCUGCGAGUUGAAUUUCUCGUUGGAUCGAUGCGAGAACCUCACUUAGAGUAGAUUCUUUAGAUGGAGUUGAUGCCCGACAAGUAAGUUGCCGCAGGUAACAAACAGUCUAAUGGAUCCAUGACUCUAGGAACUUUUUUUUAAACUUUAGAUCAUACCUGGUGAGAACCAUGUUCUAUACGAAGCAAUCAGACUUAUCCAUGCCUUAAGCCUAUUGAACUUAUACAAAAAAAAUGCAUCACAUUCAUCCACAUACAUUGCAUCAACAUCAUAAAAAGCAAGCUCUUAGUUGUCUCUUAUUUGUUUCAGGAAUUGAGAACUUGAAAAUGACAACUUCAAGGAGACACACUUUCACACUUAAAUACAAGGAACCUAAGUUGGACAGUCUGAAGGGUUUGAUCUCUGAUUUGACUCUCAGCAGGCGUGAUGAGUUCGGAAAAACUAUGGGAAAAUUUUGAGCCUUCUAACUAAGAAAGUUGAUUAUGGAAUUAUCGGCUCUUUGGCACAAUACUAUGAUCCACCUCUAUGCUGUUUCACAUUCGCUGAUUUCCAACUAGCUCCUACUUUGGAAGAAGUUGAGAGGAUCGUGGGUCUCAAAUUGAAGGAUUUCAAUCCAUUUCCAAAGCUCGAAGAAGAGAUGGGCCCAAAGAAGAUACACAUUCGCUGAUUUCCAACUAGCUCCUACUUUGGAAGAAGUUGAGAGGAUCGUGGGUCUCAAAUUGAAGGAUUUCAAUCCAUUUCCAAAGCUCGAAGAAGAGAUGGGCCCAAAGAAGAUAGCUUCAACCCUAAGUAUCAAUGUCCCGACUGUUCGAGACAAUUGGGUUGAAAAGGGGGGUUGCGAAGGUUUUGCCGCAAUGUUUUUGGAAGAUUUAGCUUUGAAGUUCAAGAAGAGUGGAAAUUGGAAUGCAUUCUAUGCUGUGUUGGCUUUAUUGAUAAAUGAGAUUGUGCUCUUCCCAAAUGUUGAAAAAUUUGUGGAUCAGGUAGCCAUAGAAAUCUUUCUCUCUGGCAAUCUAGUACCAUUCCUCUUAGCUGACAUUUACCAUGCCCUUCACGCUCGACAUGAAAAGAGGGGUGGAACUUUGUUGUGAUGUGCUCCUUUUGUUUAUAAUUGGUUCAUGCAACACAUGCCUGAAGAAGGCCCUUUUGUGGCAAAAGAACCUAAGUCUCCUCAAAAAUUAGCUUCUCUCACUGCAAGUUCCAUCAGUUGGUAUAUCCGAGAGUGGGAAACCCCAUACAUUAUAGUAAGUUGUGGGGAAUUUCCUAAUGUACCAUUGUUGGGUACCAAGGGUUGCAUCAACUAUAACCCUAUGUUAUCUCGAAUGCAACAUGGUUACUCCAUGGAUGGUCCUCCUGACGCAAAGGACUUACAGCCAUUUGUGCUCUUUGACAUCCAAGCAAGCAAUCCUGAUAUGAGAGCGGUACGAAAGGCUUGGUUAAAGGUUGUUAGGAAAGGUAAAGAGUUUGGAAAAAGAAACAUUCUCGCCAGAGAACCUUACACUCGGUGGGUGAAAGAAAGAGUUGGGGAAAUCCAUUUGCCAUUUAUCUUGAAGGCUUCAGCCUUUCCCAAAACUCCUGAGCCCAAACCCAUACUCCCUGAGGACAUGGAAAAACUCACUACUAAGGUUAAGGAGCUUGAAUUGGAGAAUACUGAAUUACGGAUUCAGAUGAACCGAGUUAUCUUGGAAAAUCAAAAUUUGAAGGAGGAACGUAAAGGGAAAGCCCAAGAACUUGAGGAUAGUAACAAGAGAGCCAGGCUAUUGGAAGACCAGAAGGAUGAUCUUGAUCAUAUCCUUAUAGGUUCCACAUCAGUGAUCCGAACCAGGAAGGAAGAGCUCAAGAAAAGCCCAAGAACUUGAGGAUAGUAACAAGAGAGCCAGGCUAUUGGAAGACCAGAAGGAUGAUCUUGAUCAUAUCCUUAUAGGUUCCACAUCAGUGAUCCGAACCAGGAAGGAAGAGCUCAAGAAAGCCGAGUAUAGGAUCUGUGAGUUAGGGAGAAUGUUGGAUAAAUCCCUUAUGGAUAAGAAAGAAAUAAAGCUCGACUUUGAGGCACAGAUCCGUGAACUAAGGGACACUCUGAAGAAAUGCGAGGAAAAGUUGUCUCACGAGAUACUCCAAAAGGAAGAAGCUGAAAGAAACUGUCACCAUCUCAGGUACCAGUUGGAAGAAGCUACUAGGAGGUUUGAAGUUUUGGAGAGCCAAGAAGGUGAGGCAGCCUACUUGCUCCUAAAGAAUGAUUGUGUGUAUUGGAAAAGGUUGUAUAGAGAAGCUAGAGCAACCUUAGAUGAGGAUCAACAGGUCAUCAAGAAACUCCAAGAGCUCUAUGUUGAAUGGAAUGGCAAGUUCCGCAACUUAGCUAGGUUUGUUAACCUCAACAUGUUGGAGCUCCCAGAAAAACUCCAGGAAGCGGAUUGGUUUCCACACUGAGUCCUCAACACCACUACAACACCUGAGCCAACGCUCGUCAAAGAAUGGCAGAUCAAGAACAAGAAUUGGAGAGAGUAAGCUCAGAACUCGAAGACCUACGAGGAAACAUGGGUCAAGUCAUGGAGAUACUACAAGUUAUUAGGGCCAAGUUGGACACCCAAACGACGGUCGUUUCAGAAAUCACCGGUCCUACGAUUGAACCCCAACCUACAAGGACAAUACCAACCACCUGGCCAGUCUAUGGUUUACCUCCCGGUUUCACACCUCCAGUUGAAGGCGCCCCUGGUCUUGUAUAAUCCACUCAGCAGUCGGUUCCUCUACCAGCUAUCAAUGAAACUCAUCCAGUGGUCCACACGUUCGCACCACCCCUUGUCUGUGCACAUGUGCAACCUUAUUUUGAGGAUCAACAACAUGCUCCGAACUUUUCGGACGAAGAUGAUGAAAGGAAGGAAAACAUAAGAGGGAUGAAAGAUAAUUUCCAUAUUCUUGAGAAAAGGUUAAGGGCUACGGAAGGAGGCCAAGUUUUUGGUGUUGCUGCUAAGGAGAUGUGCUUAGUGUCAGGUCUUGUGAUUCCUGCAAAAUUCAAGACCCCAGAUUUCGAUAGGUAUGAGGGCCACUCGUGUCCUAAAAGUCACCUUAUUAUGUACUAUCAAAAAAUGGCUGCGCACGUAGAAGACGAUAAACUUAUGAUACAUUGCUUCCAAGACAGCUUGAGGGGUGCUCCCUCUUAGUGGUAUUUAAGCCUUGAUCAAAGUAGAAUUCAUUGUUUCCAAGACUUAUCUGAUGCUUUCAUCCAACAUUAUAAGUAUAACAUGGAUAUGGCCCCAGAUAGGAGGCAAUUGCUCAACAUGUCCCAGAAAGAUAAACUUAUCUGAUGCUUUCAUCCAACAUUAUAAGUAUAACAUGGAUAUGGCCCCAGAUAGGAGGCAAUUGCUCAACAUGUCCCAGAAAGAUAACGAGUCUUUUAAGGAAUAUGCACAACGAUGGAGGGAGGUGGCCUCGCAAGUCGAAUCACCCCUUGUUGAGAAGGAGUUAGCAGAUUGGUUCAUGGCUACGAUAAAACCUAUGUUUUAUGAAAGGAUGGCGAGUAGUGUAUCUGGAAGCUUCUCUGACUUGGUUGACGUGGGCAUAGAGGUCGUGCUUGGAUUGAAGAAUGGAAAAAUGAUAACCACCUCUGAAACAUCAGGUAAUAAUGCCAAAAAGUUUCCAAGAAAUUUUCAAAGAAAGAAAGAGGGUGAAACAAACGUAGUGUCAACCAGUCAAAGGAGGAGUCUUUCAUGGAAGAAGCAACAUCAAUUUGCUCAACAACAACCAACUUAUCCAGUGCAGUAUGUUCAACAACCAUAUGUGGAAGCAAUCACACCAAAUUUCAACCAGUCACAAGCUCCUGUCUAUCAACCUGUUCAACAAACACCAGUAUACCAGCAAGCACCCACGCCACCUGCUUAUCAACAGCCAAGGGCACAGGCUGCCCGUCCACAAAAUCCUCCAAAUCAAAAUAGGGUGCAAAGAGGUAGACUUCUGUUCGCUUCAAUCCCUAUGACGUACACUGAGUUGUACCCAUCGUUACUGCGAAAAGGGUUGGUGACUCCCAGACCUUUGGGUCCUCCACCAAAUCCCUUACCUCCAUGGUAGGUAGACUUCUGUUCGCUUCAAUCCCUAUGACGUACACUGAGUUGUACCCAUCGUUACUGCGAAAAGGGUUGGUGACUCCCAGACCUUUGGGUCCUCCACCAAAUCCCUUACCUCCAUGGUACAAUCCAGAUGCCCAUUGUCCUUUCCAUGAGGGUGCCCCUGGACAUGAUCUAGAAGGAUGUUAUGCUUUGAAGCAUAUUGUGAGAGAGCUGGUUGAGAAGAAGAUUCUUUCAUUUCGAGAUGUCGGACCCAACGUAAAAAGUAACCCUCUGCUGGCGCAUGGCGAUGUUAAUGCCGUCGAGGAUGCUUCCGAUGUUUGUAUAAUAAAAAAUGUUGAAGAUGUUAAAACUCCGUUGCUAGCACUUCAUGCAAGAUUGGUGGGAGCUAGUUUGAUUGAUACAUGCCACGACAACUGUGAAGAAUGUGUCGUUCAUCCAAGGGGAUGUAAAGUGGUACGAAAUGACAUUCAAAACUUGAUGGAUCAAGGUGUUUUGCAAGUUUGUGGUCCAACAAAAAACGAGGAAGUUUCAGUCAUUGAACCUGUUUUCAAUCUUCCAGAACCGGUUGAGAUAACUUAUCACGGAAAAGAUGUUGUUCAUCCAUCACCCGUGGUAGUUUGUAUGCCUACCCCCUUUCCUUUUGAAAGCACCAAGGCGGUACCCUAGAAAUAUGACAUAACUGUGGUAGAUGGAGUGGUAGAUGAAAAACCCAAAGCUGCCGAAAGUGAGAAAGGCUUGGAGAAUGUUGACACUGAUAUCACUAACAUCGCAGGGACGAGCAGGAUGACCCGCAGCGGUCGGAUUUAUACUCCCAAUAUUAAUAUAAACCCUCAAGAACCAACAAGGGAAGCUGCAACUGCAAAUCCAACCCCAGAGUAUGGAGGGGCACAAACGGCAGUGCAAGCAGAUGAAGCAAGUGAAUUUCUAAGAAUAAUAAAGAAAAACGACUACAAGAUAUUUGAUCAGUUAUAUCAGACACCGUCAAAAAUAUUUAUCUUGUCUUUGCUUCUAAAUUCCGAAGCUCAUAGGGAGGCUCUACUGAAAGUGCUUGCUCAAGCUCAUGUUACCCAAGAUAUAAUGGUUGGCCAAUUUGAUGGGGUGGUCGCCAAUAUCACAGCCUGCAACACUCUAAGUUUCAGCAAUGAAGAGCUACCCAAAGAAUGGAAGAACCACAACCGCGCCUUACAUGUAUCCAUAAAGUGUCAAGAAGAUGCUCUGGCCAGGGUUUUAGUUGACACCGGAUCGUCCCUCAAUGUCCUACCAAAGAGGGCACUUGCUAAAUUAUCUUACCCAGGUUCAGAAUUGAAACCUAGUGCACUUGUGGUAAAAGCAUUUGAUGGUUCUCGAAGGACAGUUGUUGGGGAGGUAGAGCUACCAAUACAGAUCGGACCGCAUGUAUUCCCCAUCAAUUUCCAAGUCAUGGUCAUAAAUCCCACUUAUAGCUGCCUUCUGGGACGUCCCUGGAUACAUGCUCCUGGGGCAGUAACUUCUACUUUGCAUCAAAAAAUGAAGUUUGUUGUCGAUGACAAGCUCGUCAUUGUCUUGGGUGAAGAAGAUUUUCUCAUCAGUCAACUCUCCUCUUUCCGUUAUAUCGAGGUUGAUAAGGAUACCUUAGAAACCUCUUUCCAAGCGCUUGAAAUAUCCAAUGCCACACUUGCUGAGGUGGAGGAUCCUAUUGAGAAAACCAGUUUGUCGUUCGCCUCUUUGAAUAGUGCAAGGUCAGCAGUUGAAAGUGGAGGACCUGGAGGUUGGGGGCAAGUCAUCAAUGUCAGCGAGAAAAAUGAUCCUUUUGGUUUGGGGUACAAGCCUUCUGCUAAGGGAGGAGCCCUGGUCCCUGCAAAGGACCGCGUGCGGAGCAUACAAGAAGUUUUCCUGAGCACAGGAUUUAUCCAUGGGGAUCAAGUUGGUGCAGUUGAAGAUGACACUGAAGAUGGAGAGGCAUCAAAUUUGAUAUACCGAUGUGAAGCGGCCUUAACAAAUUGGGAAGCAGUUGAGAUUCCAGAAGUUUUUCCUAUGUCAAAGCAGAAUAAUCAAUAAACCAAUUGAAUUCGGUGACCCCACUACUUCCUAUAACUUUGACCUCCCCAUCUACCAAGCGGAAGAGGAUAGUGAGGAAGAUUGUGAUUUCCCUGAAGAAUUGGAAAGGCUGCUCGAGCACGAGUCAAAGGCCCUUCAGCCGCAUCAAGAACCAGUGGAAACAAUCAACCUUGGAACUGAGGAAGACAAGAAAGAGGUCAAAGUUGGGACUACACUUGGGGCAAGCAUCAAAGAAAGAUUGAUCGAGUUGCUACAAGAAUAUGUAGAUGUAUUUGCUUGGUCGUAUCAGGAUAUGCCGGGUUUAGAUACUGAUAUUGUUGUCCACAAGCUACCACUACAGCCAGAUCACCUGCCAGUAAAGCAGAAGCUCCGAAGAGCAAGACUCGACAUGGCUCUAAAAUUUUUUGAUGAGGUGAAACGUCAAUUUGAUGCCGGUUUUCUAGCAGUUGCGAAGUACCCCCAAUGGGUAGCUAAUAUUGUACCAGUACCCAAAAAGGAUGGCAAGGUCAGGAUGUGUGCCGAUUACAGGGAUUUAAACAAAGCUAGUCCAAAGGACGAUUUCCCCCUGCCACAUAUUGACACUCUGGUAGACAACACUGCUAAGUUCGCGGUCUUCACCUUUAUGGACGGAUUCUCGGGUUAUAAUCAAAUUAAGAUGGAUCUAGAAGACAUGGAAAAGACCACAUUCAUCACCCCUUGGGGAACAUUUUGCUACAAGGUAAUGCCAUUCGGUCUCAAAAAUGCUGGGGCAACUUACCAAAGAGAAAUGGUCACUCUUUUCCAUGACAUGAUGCAUAAGGAAAUUGAGGUUUAUGUAGAUGAUAUGAUUGCAAAAUCCCAAAGUGAAGAGGAUCAUAUGGAUCACUUGCAAAAGCUAUUUGAGCGUCUUCGGAAAUUUCAAUUACGGCUGAAUCCUGCUAAAUGCACCUUCGGUGUCCGAUUUGGAAAGUUGCUUGGUUUCAUUGUUAGUCAACGAGGAAUUGAGGUAGAUCCAGACAAGGAUAGGGCGAUACAAGAAAUGAUUGCUCCAUGUACAGAGAAAGAAGUUAGGGGAUUCCUGGGACGUUUGAACUAUAUCUCUAGGUUUAUAUCUCAUAUGACUGCUACGUGUGAACCUAUAUUCAAGUUGCUGAGAAAAGAUUAGGCAGUUGAAUGGAACUCUGACUGCCAAAUGGCCUUUGAGAAGAUCGAACAAUACCUACAAGAGCCCCCUAUCCUAAUUCCACCUGUUCAGGGGAAACCACUCUUUAUGUACUUAACUGUGCUUGAAAAGUCAAUGGGAUGUGUGCUGGGACAACAUGACGAAACCGGCUGAAAGGAGCAUGCCAUCUACUAUUUAAGUAAGAGAUUUACCGAUUGUGAAACCCGAUAUUCACUCUUGGAGAAAACUUGUUGUGCUUUAGCAUGGGCCACUCGUCGUCUAAGACAAUACAUGAUUUGCCACACUACUUUGUUGAUCUCAAAAAUGGAUCCAAUAAAGCAUAUCUUUGAAAAGCCUGCUUUAACUGGAAGACUCGCCCGUUGGCAGAUGUUACUAUCUGAGUAUGACAUCCAAUAUGUAUCUCAGAAAGCCAUUAAAGGAAGUGUGUUGUCUGAUUACCUAGCAAACCAGCCCGUUGAAGACUACCAGCCGUUGAAGUUUGACUUCCCUGAUGAAGACAUUAUGGUAGUAAGAGAUUGUGAAAUCCCAGGACUUGAUGAAGGACCUGAACCCGGAUCUCGGUGGAAGCUCAUGUUCGAUGGUUCCUCCAAUUACAUGGGGCAUGGCGUAUGAGCUGUUCUAUUAAAUCCGAAUGGUGGAUACACUCCUUUCACAGCAAGGUUGUGUUUUGAUUGCACAAAUAAUAUAGCAGAAUAUGAGGCGUGCAUCCUAGGCAUUGAAGCAGGAAUUGACCUCCGAAUCAAAAUCCUCGAAGUAUGUGGAGACUCAGCCUUGGUGAUAUACCAAGUCAAGGGCGAAUGGGAAACCCGUGAUACCAAGUUGAUCCCAUAUCGUGCCUAUGUCAUGGAACUAAACUCAGCCUUGGUGAUAUACCAAGUCAAGGGCGAAUGGGAAACCCGUGAUACCAAGUUGAUCCCAUAUCGUGCCUAUGUCAUGGAACUAAUAAAAUACUUUGACGAAAUCACUUUCCGUCAUAUCCCAAGAACUGAGAAUCAAAUUGCUGACGCUUUGGAUAUGUUGGCUUCAAUGUACCAAGUUAGAUUCCAUAAUGAAGCGCCUCUCAUUCAGAUCGAGAGGAAAGUUGAGCCUGCCUACUGCCAGUCGGUUGAAGAAGAAGCCGAUGGUAAACCCUGGUUUCACGACAUCAAAUGCUUUUUGCAAAAUCAAGAAUAUCCAACAGAUGCAACAACCCUUGAUAAGAAAACAUUGAGGAAGUUAGCAUCCAAAUUCUUCUUAAGCAAUGGUGUGUUAUACAAGAGAAACCACGACAUGAUUUUGCUCAGAUGCGUGGAUGGACGUGGAGCGGACCUGUUGAUCAAGGAGAUUCAUGAAGGAUCCUUUGGAACUCAUGCCAAUGGGCAUGCCAUGGCCAAGAAGAUUUUGAGACCUGGUUAUUACUGGUUGACCAUGGAAUCCGACUGCUUCAAUUAUGCUAGAAAAUGUCAUAAAUGCCAAAUCUAUGCCGACAAGGUACACGUGCCUCCGACCCUACUAAAUGUUUUGACGUCACCUUGGAUGGAAUCCGACUGCUUCAAUUAUGCUAGAAAAUGUCAUAAAUGCCAAAUCUAUGCCGACAAGGUACACGUGCCUCCGACCCUACUAAAUGUUUUGACGUCACCUUGGCCUUUCUCAAUGUGGGGCAUUGACAUGAUUGGCGCCAUCGAGCCUAAGGCUUCCAAUGGUCACCGCUUCAUCCUGGUUGCCAUUGAUUACUUUACCAAAUGGGUGGAAGCCGCCUCUUAUGUUAAUGUGACAAAACAAGUGGUUGCACGGUUCCUCAAAAAAGAGAUCAUUUUCCGUUAUGGAGUUCCAAGCCGAAUCAUCACGGACAAUGGGACGAAUCUGAACAAUAAGACCAUGAAGGAACUAUGCGAAAGCUUUAAGAUUGAGCACCAUAACUCUUCACCAUAUCGUCCAAAGAUGAAUGGCGCUCUUGAAGCCGCUAAUAAAAACAUCAAGAAGAUCCUGCAGAAAAUGGUGAAAACCUAUAAGGAUUGGCACGAAAUGCUACCCUUUGCAUUGCAUGGGUACCGGACUUCCGUCCGCACUUCAACAGGGGUAAACCCAUUCUCUUUGGUAUAUGGGAUGGAAGCGGUUCUCCCAAUUGAAGUGGAGAUACCUUCAAUGAGAAUCCUGAUGGAAACCAAGCUAGAAGAGGCUGAGUGGAUUCAAAAUAGAUUUGAUCAGUUAAACCUCAUAGAUGAGAAGCGAAUGACUUCUUUAUGCCAUGGACAGUUAUACCAGAAAUGGCUCAAAAGGGCUUUUGACAAGAAAGUACGUGUUCGGGAAUUCAGAGAAGGAGACCUCGUGCUCAAGAAGAUCUUGCCAAUACACAAGGACUCACGUGGGAAGUGGACUCCCAAUUAUGAAAGCCCAUAUGCUGCGAAGAAAGCUUUCUCCGGAGGUGCCUUGAUUCUCACAACUAUGGAUGAUGAAGAGCUCUCGCACCCCGUGAACUCUGAUGUAAUUAAAAAAUACUAUGCUUAAUAAAAACCCGCUAAGUCGAAAACCUGAAAGGGCGAUUUAGGCAAAAAAAAGGGUAUCCCGGUGGAUUGAAAACCCGAAAGGGCGGUCCAGGAAAAAUUUAGGGAUAAAAAAAAUGGUAGCUCGCUAAGUUGAAAACCUGAAAAGGCGACUUAGGAAAAAAGGAGCGUCCCGGUGGAUUGAAAACCCGAAAGGGCGAUCCAGGCAAAAGUUAGGGGCACAAGGCAUAAACUGCAUCAGUUGUUAUUGAUUGACACCGAAGAAUCUAAGGCGGAAGAUCAAUCCAGUUACUCCCCUUAGAAGUAAGGUUUUGGGAAAUCAUAUCUAUUAGGGAUGUUAGUGGUCGCUGAAUUCAACGUAAACUUUUCCUUAUUGCCAUUUUUCAAAUUUGUAACAUUCCGUGGAGCUACGCCAUUUGUGUGCUACUGUUCUUGAAUAAAAUACAAUCUUUGCCUGUUAAUCAUUGUUAAUUAUGUUCUUCUACGCUUUUCUUUGUUAUACAAAGUGUCAUUUAUUUGUUAAUAAUGAAAUUUUAAAACUUGAAUUUUUUUUGAAAUUUAGUAAAAGGAACAAAAUUACUUUGAUAUUUGUGAAAAUCAAAGGAAAAUCAUUUAUUUUUCCGAAAGUCUCAAGAUUGCAUAAAUACUCCUGGAUCACCAACAAAAUCUCCAUGGAACACAACUUAUUAAUCCUCUGGAAGGAUGGACCUUGGGUUAUUUAUAACUAUCAAUCAUGAUAGAUUCUCUUCUGGAUACACCUCUUAAUUGUACAGGUUUGAGUUAUUGAUGUUGAGGAAUCAGAAUCUCUGUAAACAGUCCCUACAAACUUCCAGUCUACCUAUUGUCAGCAUUGCAUAUCAUGAUCGUUCAUAUAUCAUGCAUAAAUAAAAAAUCAAGUCAUGCAUGGUUCAAAGUGUACUCUAUAUCCAUGUGUGUGACCCCUUCGGUCCCGUUGUUGAUUGUUAUCCCUUGACCCAAAGACCAGUUGUCACUAGUAUCAUUUCAGAAGUUUAAAUCGUCGUUGGCAUCACUGUCAGUCUGUUUGUAAGUACAAUUGUAAUUGGUAUCUGAAUUUUGGUUGUCACCAACAUUAUUUCAAGUCCAAUUGUUGUUGGCAAAAUCUGUUAAAAGCUGGUUGUAAUCCAUUGCUUACAGUCAAAGUCCAAUUGUUGUUGGCAAAAUCUGUUAAAAGCUGGUUGUAAUCCAUUGCUUAUAGUCAAAGUCCAAUUGUUGUUGGCACCAAUCUGUUAAUGCUUACAGUCAAAGUCCAAUUGUUGUUGGCAAAAUCUGUUAAAAGCUGGUUGUAAUCCAUUGCUUAUAGUCAAAGUCCAAUUGUUGUUGGCACCAAUCUGUUAAAAGUUGGUUGUAAUCCAUUGCUUACAGUCAAAGUCCAAUUGUUGUUGGCACCUAUCCGUUAAAAGUUGGUUGUAAUCCAUUACUUACGGUUAAAAGUCCAAUUGUUUGUUUGGUACGUAUAGAGAGUUUAAUUACCCUGUCUUUCCUGAUGGUUCUGUGAAAGUCAUGUAUGACUCAUCAUCUUGAGGAAUUCCCAGAAGCUUGGAGGUUUUUCGUUGUUAGAAAAGUCCAAUGAUGUUGGUUUCGUUUGAUUUCUUUGUAAAGAAUCAUCAUAGCCUUUUGCACGGAUGAUCUACUUAUAAGAAGACUCCUGCUUAUCUUUGUUUUGCCCAAUUUCCCUAUUAGAAAUCUCCAAAAUCUUUGAUUGGAUGAAUUUCUUGUGAGAAACCUCCAGAAUUGUCGGAAGUAUUCUAAAGUGUCAGGUUGGGUAUGAACCCAUUGAUGAAACUUGAUAUGUAUGUUUGUCAGUAUUUUCAAGUCAUGUAUGAACCUAUGGUUGAAGUUUUCUUUGUGUUUUCUAGUUUGUCAGGUCACGUCUGAACCUGUUAUUAAAUUCUUUGACUUUCUCCAGAAUCGUCAGGUCAUGUCUGAACCUGUGAGUGAAAUAGUUUGUCAGGUCACGUCUGAACCUGUUAUUAAAUUCUUUGACUUUCUCCAGAAUCGUCAGGUCAUGUCUGAACCUGUGAGUGAAACUUUCUUUGAAUAUCCAAAUGUUGAGGUCACAUAUGAACCCGUUGAUUAAAAAUUCUUUGGUUUUCUAAUAUUCUUAGGUCAUGUUUGAGCCAAUUGUUGAAACGCUUUGAAUUUUCCAAUGCUGUUAGGUCAUGUAUGAGCCUGUUGAUGGAACUUUCUUUGUGCAUUUUCCAAUGUUGUCAGGUCAUGUUUGAAUCUGUUUAUGGAACCUUUUUGAUAUCCCCCAACAUUGUUAGGUCAUGUCUGAACCUACUGUCAGAACCGUUCUUGGUACUCCCCAGCAUUGUCAGGUCAUGUAUGAACCUGUUGCUUUUGAGCCUUUAUUCCAGUAUUACCGGGUCAAGUCUGAACCUGUUUGAAGAAUCUUUUUCUUUGAUUAUUCCAGUGUUGUCAGGUCAUGUAUGAACCUAUUGCUGAACCUUUUGUUCCAACGUUGUCAAGUCAUGUACGAACUUGUUGUGGAAAUUUUCUCAAAAUAUUCAAGUUGUAGUAAGUCAUGUGUGAACGUACUGUCAAAAUAUCUGAUGUCCUGAGUGUCGUUUAUCAACUUUCACUUCGAUUACUCCCCAGUGUGUGUCUGACUCUCCAGCAGGAUUGUUAUCCUCAGCGAGUUGGCUGUACAUUGUUUUUGUAUUUCCCUGUGGGCCAUCAGAGUUCCCCGCAUAUUGGUUUGUCUGUUAUAACAUCUCCUGCUAAAAGUUCACCGUGUCCCUAACAGACAAAUUCAAAAAAAUAAUAAUAUAAAGAAUCAUGCAUCCAUGCAUAUCAUAUCAUAACAUUUGCAUUUUCAGGAUCAAAAUCUGGGCCUCCAUAGUAUUUAACCACCCCCCACUGCGUUCCGAUGAAAAAUGUUGUUUCAUUUUUCCUCUGGUGGAGGAUGUUUAAAUAGGGGAAACUGUUAUACCCUGAUUUUGGUCCUGAAUUUUUUUUCAUCAAUCAUUCAUUUUCUAUCCUCCUCAUGACCAUUUCAUCCGGUCAUGAAUCUAUCCAAUUACGCGGGUUGUUUAGACAUGGGCACUACUUGUCAUUCCAUGAUUAUUAGAUUUUUACCUCUCUAUUUGGCUUUAUAUGUUUGAUACAUUUUGAUAGAAUCAGUUAGAAUGUCAUUCUCAUGUCUAAAUUCAAUUCAUGUUUUGUCUCUCAUGGAACAUCAUUUUCCCUUUCAAGGAGAUUCCAUUUAUAUACCAUCUUAUAUUUCUAUAUAUCAUGUUCAAAUUUGCAUUCACAUUUUUUUAUUCACAUUGGAAAGCUACCAUUCAUCCAUACACAUAUUCAUUCAUAUUUUUAUUACUUCAUUCAUUUUUCCCACAUCCACUCACUCACAACCGUCGUUCCUAUUGGCAAGUAACCUUUAAACAUCACCAUUCGAAUACAUGAAGUCCACAAGAUACAAGGAAAGGCUUCUUUUGACUUGCUACGAGAGACGCUAACUUUUUCAUUCACAACAAUGUCAUAUUCUUUACAAAUCAUAAACCACAAGAUACAAGGAAAGGCUUCUUUUGACUUGCUACGAGAGACGCUAACUUUUUCAUUCACAACAAUGUCAUAUUCUUUACAAAUCAUAAGUUUGUCCAAAGCAUACUUAAUUUACAAGAAAAAAAAGUUGGCACUCGAAUCUUUAUUACAAGAGGGGGGUACAUUCAUUGUGCUCCAUACAUGGAGAUUGCUAUAAACAUACAUUAUUGUCCAAAUCAAGCUGGAUUGCAACUGGAUAUGAAGAAGGGACUGUGAGGCUGGCUAGGUACUCUCCAGGAGCAAACAAAAUGUUGCUGAUGCUUCAAAAGCACUUUCAAAAAUCUGGCUCAAUUGCUGAUUUCUUCACCGUUGGUUCAAAUUCUUCCUGCUGUUGUUGUUGCUCCAAUGUAUUUCUCUGAAAAAAAUCAAGUUGGUGUCAUCAAUCAGUGGGGUCAAUUGCGAGCUCAGUUUUUCACCAGCGACUCCCAUGGCUCAGCCUGCUGUGGCAAUCUUGAGUCAAGGUUCUAAUGUAAAUGUGGUAAAACCUGUAUAACCAAAUAUUCAAAUUAAGCCUGGUUUAAACAUUUUCGAAAAUCACAAUCAAAGAAAAUCCUAAAGAAAAACAGCAAUAGCAAUGAUCAACCAGCAUUUUUCAAAAAUGAUGAUGAUUUCGAUGAUGCUUUAGAGGAUGAAGGUUUUUCUCUUGCAAAGAGUAAAAAGAAUCAUAACAAGUCAAGAUUCACCGGAGAAUAUUCUGAGUUUGCAGGUCCAUUGGUUAUCCUUUCAGCCAUUCUCUGGAAGUCAUGCCAAGACCAACCAAAGCCACCGUCGCCAACGGGGAGUGUUAUCAUGUGACCGUCCACAAAACAAUCGUAGCCCUGCAAAAAUCAAACCAAACCAUAACAGUCAAUUUAGAAUCUUCUAG
rnacentral:lncRNA from 1 species